AGCUUUGUGCAGUGGCAGUAUCGUAGCCAAUGAGGUUUAUCUGAGGUGCAAUAUAUUGCUAAUCGAAAACUUUUCCCAAUACCCUGCUAUGAUGACUUGAAAUAUAGUUGGCAUUGGCAAUUUUUGAUAGUCUCUAUGGAGA
rnacentral:snRNA from 1 species